CCUACGGGUGGCAGCAGUGAGGAAUAUUGGUCAAUGGACGAGAGUCUGAACCAGCCAAGUAGCGUGAAGGAUGACUGCCCUAUGGGUUGUAAACUUCUUUUAUAUGGGAAUAAAAUGUUCCACGUGUGGGAUUUUGUAUGUACCAUAUGCAUAAGGAUCGGCUAACUCCGUGCCAGCAGCCGCGGUAAUACGGAGGAUCCGAGCGUUAUCCGGAUUUAUUGGGUUUAAAGGGAGCGUAGGUGGAUUGUUAAGUCAGUUGUGAAAGUUUGCGGCUCAACCGUAAAAUUGCAGUUGAAACUGGCAGUCUUGAGUACAGUAGAGGUGGGCGGAAUGCGUGGUGUAGCGGUGAAAUGCUUAGAUAUCACGAAGAACUCCGAUUGCGAAGGCAGUUCACUGGACUGCAACUGACACUGAGGCUCGAAAGUGUGGGUAUCAAACAGGAUUAGAUACCCCAGUAGUC
rnacentral:rRNA from 1 species